rnacentral:rRNA from 1 species
CAGCAGCCGCGGUAAUACAGAGGGUGCGAGCGUUAAUCGGAUUUACUGGGCGUAAAGCGUGCGUAGGCGGCUUCUUAAGUCGGAUGUGAAAUCCCUGAGCUUAACUUAGGAAUUGCAUUCGAUACUGGGAAGCUAGAGUAUGGGAGAGGAUGGUAGAAUUCCAGGUGUAGCGGUGAAAUGCGUAGAGAUCUGGAGGAAUACCGAUGGCGAAGGCAGCCAUCUGGCCUAAUACUGACGCUGAGGUACGAAAGCGUGGGGAGCAAACAGGAUUAGAUACCCCUGUAGUCCCUGUCUCUUAUAC